rnacentral:rRNA from 1 species
CCUACGGGAGGCAGCAGUGGGGAAUAUUGGACAAUGGGGGGAACCCUGAUCCAGCCAUGCCGCGUGUGUGAAGAAGGCCCUCGGGUUGUAAAGCACUUUCAGUGAGGAAGAACGCCUGGUGGUUAAUACCCAUCAGGAAAGACAUCACUCACAGAAGAAGCACCGGCUAACUCCGUGCCAGCAGCCGCUGUAAUACGGAGGGUGCGAGCGUUAAUCGGAAUUACUGGGCGUAAAGCGCGCGUAGGUGGCUUGAUAAGCCGGUUGUGAAAGCCCCGGGCUCAACCUGGGAACGGCAUCCGGAACUGUCAAGCUAGAGUGCAGGAGAGGAAGGUAGAAUUCCCGGUGUAGCGGUGAAAUGCGUAGAGAUCGGGAGGAAUACCAGUGGCGAAGGCGGCCUUCUGGACUGACACUGACACUGAGGUGCGAAAGCGUGGGUAGCAAACAGGAUUAGAUACCCUGGUAGUC